UGAUCCUGGCUCAGAUUGAACGCUGGCGGCAGGCCUAACACAUGCAAGUCGAGCGGAAACGAGUUAUCUGAACCUUCGGGGGACGAUAACGGCGUCGAGCGGCGGACGGGUGAGUAAUGCCUAGGAAAUUGCCCUGNUGUGGGGGAUAACCAUUGGAAACGAUGGCUAAUACCGCAUAAUACCUUCGGGUCAAAGAGGGGGACCUUCGGGCCUCUCGCGUCAGGAUAUGCCUAGGUGGGAUUAGCUAGUUGGUGAGGUAAUGGCUCACCAAGGCGACGAUCCCUAGCUGGUCUGAGAGGAUGAUCAGCCACACUGGAACUGAGACACGGUCCAGACUCCUACGGGAGGCAGCAGUGGGGAAUAUUGCACAAUGGGCGCAAGCCUGAUGCAGCCAUGCCGCGUGUGUGAAGAAGGCCUUCGGGUUGUAAAGCACUUUCAGUCGUGAGGAAGGUAGUGUAGUUAAUAGCUGCAUUAUUUGACGUUAGCGACAGAAGAAGCACCG
rnacentral:rRNA from 1 species